CAGCCGCCACGGUAAUACGUAGGGUGCAAGCGUUAUCCGGAAUUAUUGGGCGUAAAGCGUGCGUAGGCGGUUUGUUAAGUCUGUUGUGAAAUCCCCGGGCUCAACCUGGGAAUGGCAAUGGAUACUGGCAAGCUAGAGUGUGUCAGAGGAUGGUGGAAUUCCCGGUGUAGCGGUGAAAUGCGUAGAGAUCGGGAGGAACAUCAGUGGCGAAGGCGGCCAUCUGGGACAACACUGACGCUGAGGCACGAAAGCGUGGGGAGCAAACAGGAUUAGAGACCCGCGUAGUCCCUGUCUCUUAUCC
rnacentral:rRNA from 1 species